AUCCAGGUGCAAAUGAUAAAUUAUUCAUAAAAGGUUUGGUCACGAUUGUGUUUAUUGCCACAUGUUUAUGAUAUCCUUCCAUUUCUUCGCUGCUGGUUCCAUUAUCUGUGUUUAGUUUUAAUGAAAAGCACAAAGGCACCAACAACUUCAAUGCUUUUAGUCAAGAAAGAGGCUUAGGAAAAAAAUAUUGUUAUGACUAGUGCAAAACCUAUUGAUAAAAGUAUUUAUUCUGCCGAAAUUACCAGAAUUUUAGAAGGUUAUAAACAGUUUUCUCCAACUUCAAAUGUACUAAUUUCAAGAACAGAUUAUAAACAAGGAAUGUGUAUAGUUUCAAGUUUUGAGAAUGAAGAACCUGUGCGUGAUAAAACAAUUAUUAUUUUGUGAAAAGGCUCCAAAGUUUUAUUUGUGUAUAAUCUUUUUAAAUCUUGUUGUGUUUUUUACAUAAGGGGUUUUCAACUGAAAAAUGUGAUGUAGUUAGAGUAAUAGCCCCAGAAAAUCUAUAAUAAUGAGUAUAUAAUGAUGAAUAUAAUAAUGAAUAUGUAAUAAAAAUAUUGCUUUUUCUCAAAUACUCACCAACAUUUUACAAUUUGUAAAAAAAUGACAGUAUUUUUUUUCCAAACUGAGUGAAAUAUUAAUCUUUUUACCAAGUAGUAAAUUAUGUUUAUAAAAAAGUAAUUUAGUUAUAUUGCAAAUUUUAAUUCAGAUGAGGCAGAGUAUAUCAAGAAAUUUAGUAUCUUAUUAAAAUAUUGAAAAUUAUUUUCCGAUGAUCCCAAAUUUCAAAACUCUAAACAUUGAGGCAUAUGGUAGCGUAAUUUUUAUUUUAAAUUACUGCAAAAUUAAAAAUAAGUUUGAAUUGAAUGCACUCUCUUAGUAGCAAAAACAUACUAUAUAUAUCAUAUUUUUGAGUGAAUAUUUUGUAUUUUUUUAAUGAAGGCUGUGAUAUGUAUAAGAAGUAUAUAUGCGAAGUGAUAUGUAGUGAUAUGUAUAAGAAGUAUAAUAUAUUUAAGUUUCAAGAUUUUGCAUAAAAAUUAUUAUAUUCUGUCUAUGUAUACAAACAUCAAAAUGAUUGUAAAUGAAUAAAUUAUGCUUGAAUAUCGA